AUCAACGAGAUUCCCAUUGUCCCUAUUUACUAUCUAGCGAAACCACUGCUAAGGGAACGGGCUUAGCAUAAUCAGCGGGGAAAGAAGACCCUGUUGAGCUUGACUCUAGUCAGACUUUGUGAAAUAACAUGAAGGGUAUAGCAUAGGUGGGAGAGAAAUCGUCCUUGUAAUACCACUACCUUUUAUCGUUGUUUUACUUAUUUAAUUGAGUAGAGACGGGGCCAAAAGCCCCUUCUUCUAGUGUUAAUCGGGGCCGGAUGCUCGUCGGGUUCGCCUGGCGGGCCUCUCCGCCCGAGAUCUAGGUUAAAGACAUUGUCUGGUGGGGAGUUUGGCUGGGGCGGCACAUCUGUUACAAGAUAACACAGGUGUCCAAAAGGGAGCUCAAUGAGAACAGAAAUAUCAUGUAGAACAAAAGGGUAAAAGCUCUCUUGAUUUUGAUUUUCAGUACUAAUACAAACCGUGAAAGCGUGGCCUAUCGAUCCUUUAGCCAUUCGAGAUUUGAAGCUAGAGGUGUCAGAAAAGUUACCACAGGG
rnacentral:rRNA from 1 species